AUGCAAGUAGAACGCUGAAGAGAGGAGCUUGCUCUUCUUGGAUGAGUUGCGAACGGGUGAGUAACGCGUAGGUAACCUGCCUUGUAGCGGGGGAUAACUAUUGGAAACGAUAGCUAAUACCGCAUAACAAUGGAUGACACAUGUCAUUUAUUUGAAAGGGGCAAUUGCUCCACUACAAGAUGGACCUGCGUUGUAUUAGCUAGUAGGUGAGGUAACGGCUCACCUAGGCGACGAUACAUAGCCGACCUGAGAGGGUGAUCGGCCACACUGGGACUGAGACACGGCCCAGACUCCUACGGGAGGCAGCAGUAGGGAAUCUUCGGCAAUGGGGGCAACCCUGACCGAGCAACGCCGCGUGAGUGAAGAAGGUUUUCGGAUUGUAAAGCUCUGUUGUAAGUCAAGAACGAGUGUGAGAGUGGAAAGUUCACACUGUGACGGUAGCUUACCAGAAAGGGACGGCUAACUACGUGCCAGCAGCCGCGGUAAUACGUAGGUCCCGAGCGUUGUCCGGAUUUAUUGGGCGUAAAGCGAGCGCAGGCGGUUUGAUAAGUCUGAAGUUAAAGGCUGUGGCUCAACCAUAGUUCGCUUUGGAAACUGUCAAACUUGAGUGCAGAAGGGGAGAGUGGAAUUCCAUGUGUAGCGGUGAAAUGCGUCGACAUAUGGAGGAACACCGGUGGCGAAAGCGGCUCUCUGGUCUGUA
rnacentral:rRNA from 1 species